GAGUGAUCUAGCCAUGAGCAGGUUGAAGGUGCGGUAACACGUACUGGAGGACCGAACCCACUUAUGUUGAAAAAUGAGGGGAUGACCUGUGACUAGGGGUGAAAGGCCAAUCAAACUCGGAAAUAGCUCGUACUCCCCGAAAUGCAUUUAGGUGCAGCGUUGUGUUAGUUUUAUAGAGGUAGAGCUACUGAUUGGAUGCGGGGGCUUCACCGCCUACCAAUUCCUGACAAACUCCGAAUGCUAUAAAAUGAUGCACAGCAGUGAGGGCAUGGGUGCUAAGGUCCAUGUCCGAGAGGGAAAGAACCCAGACCAUCAGCUAAGGUCCCAAAAUAUAUGUUAAGUUGAAUAAACGAGGUUGGAUUGCACAGACAGCUAGGAUGUUGGCUUGGAAGCAGCCAUUCAUUUAAAGAGUGCGUAACAGCUCACUGGUCGAGCGGUCCCGCAUGGAUAAUGAUCGGGCAUAAGCACAUUACCGAAGCUAUGGCAUCGAAAGAUGGGUAGGGGAGCAUUCUGUUCGGCGCCGAAGGUGCACUGUGAGGUGUGCUGGAGCGUACAGAAACGAAAAUGUAGGCAUAAGUAACGAUAAUGCGGGCGAGAAACCCGCACACCGAUAGACUAAGGUUUCCCCGGCAAUGCUAAUCAGCCGGGGGUUAGUCGGGACCUAAGGCGAACCCGAAGGGGGUAGUCGAUGGACAAUGGUUUAAUAUUACCAUACUACCAUUAACAGUGAUGGGGUGACGGAGCAGUGAAAGUCCUGCGUACUGACGGAAUAGUACGUUGAAGGGUGUAGAUAUUGGGACUGUAGGCAAAUCCGCAGACCUAGUCGAACCUGAUAGUACCACAAAGCUUCGGCUGCGUGGAUAGUGUUCCUAAGCGCUUCCAAGAAAAACCUCUAAGCUUCAGGUUAUACCAACUCGUACCGCAAACCAACACAGGUAGUCAAGUAGAGAAUACUGAGGUGCUCGAGUGAUUCAUGGCUAAGGAACUAGGCAAAAUGGUCUCGUAACUUCGGGAGAAGAGACGCCAACUUCGGUUGGCCGCAGUGAAUAGGCCCAGGCGACUGUUUAUCAAAAACACAGGGCUUUGCUAAAUUGAAAGAUGAUGUAUAAGGCCUGACACCUGCCCGG
rnacentral:rRNA from 1 species